UACGAAGGGGGCAAGCGUUGUUCGGAAUUACUGGGCGUAAAGGGCGCGUAGGCGGUGCACUAAGUCAGGCGUGAAAGCCCUGGGCUCAACCCGGGAAUUGCGCUUGAUACUGGUGCGCUUGAAUCCAGGAGAGGUUGGUGGAAUUCCCAGUGUAGAGGUGAAAUUCGUAGAGAUUGGGGAAGAACACCGGUGGCGAAGGCGGCCAACUGGGACU
rnacentral:rRNA from 1 species